rnacentral:rRNA from 1 species
AUGGUGCACGUAUCCCUUCUCAAGCGUGCGGUUGGGGCGGAAGUGCCUGUGAACACUCAGUUACCACCUCCUAACGCAGUUUUGCAGGCUGAGCAUUCGCCCGAUGGGGUGAUCGACAUGAAGUUGGUUCGAGUGGACGGCACCUUUGAACCGCGUGUGCUGAUCAAAUGGAGUGAUCUACCUGCAGACCUGGCGACAUGGGAAGACCCAAUCAAACUGCAACAAUGGUAUCCAACAACACCGCCUUGGGGGCAAGGCGGUCCUCAAGGAGGGGAGAAUGUCACGACUAACAAGAGGAGCCACGACAGCGAUGAGAUAGAGGGCCCAGCGGCCAAGGGAAUCGACGAAUCCGUCAAGGGAGAAGCGCUUACAACUGGGACCGGGCGGUCAGCGAGACAAGAAUGA